UAACAUCAUCAUCUCUUUACGAACAAACAGUCUGGCAUAUACCGAAUUACCAGCCUGGUGGGUACUGAAUCAACAUCAUGAUCUCUUAAGCUAAAAACAGCCUAAUGUGUACUGAACUAGCAUCAUCAUAUCUCCAACUACUGACAGCAUGGUGUGAUCUGAAUCAACAUUAGCACAUCUCAUUAUUAGACAUACUUGUGUGAACUGAAUCAGCCUUCUCAUCUCUCCAUGACAGAUAACCAUGUUUAAAUUUCAUCAGCAUCAUCAUCUCUCAGCCAACAGACAAUCUAGUAUCGACUUAAUAAGCCUACACAUCUCUCCACCAACAGACAGCCUGGUCUAAACUGGAACAGCCUUUUAAUCUAAAAACUAACAGCCAGCCUGGUCUGUACGGAAUCAGCAUCCUCAUCGCUCCAUUUACAGAUAGCCUGGUGUGUACUGAUACAGACCUCCAUAUCUCGUGAUCAACAGAUAUCAUGGUUUGUACUGAAACAGCUUUUCAUCUAUCAACCAACAAACAACCUGGUGUGUUAUUAAUCAGCAUCAUCAUCCCUCCACCAACAGAAAAAACAGCUGAAGCCAACAAGAAUUGACUUUUAGGAAUGAUGUUUGUGCCAUAUGAUAAGUAACAACUACUUAAGUUUAUUUUUCCUACACUUUUAGUUGUGACCUGCAGCAGAUAUUUUAGUCAAUAUUUCACCAUUGUAAAGCCCUGCAGCUGAAGAGUCUCAGAAAAUGCUAAGUAUUUUACUGCUUUACCAUAGCUUAUAAUAUAUAUGAUUAAAGGUUUACCACAGCUUAUAUAAAAUUUUGUUUAAAGGUACUAUAAUUGACGCUUAAAUGUUGGCGUAAAAUGCAAGUUUUGUUUUAAUUAGCUUUAAGGAUUAUUGUUAAAAUAGUACAUACAAAAAAUUUGAAACCCUAUUUUUAUAUGACCAUAAAUUUUGGCGGUCUUGCUGCUGUUCAACAUUAUCGGCCACAAAUAUAGUUUCCUGACUAAAACUGAAGUAUUUGCUCAAUUGUUAAUAAUUUUAACUUAACGUAAAUGAAUGUGUGUAUCGUGAGUUUCUCUCACUGACAACACUGGAUAAUAGCUAAGUGCUAUAUGCUAAUGACUAAAAAAUUAACCUUGUUAAACUUAUAUUUUGUGACUUCAAUAACUUGUAUUUACAAGGGAAGUUACAAACAUAUGUUAAAUAAAAAUAUAGAUUCUAUAUCAAUGAAACUGAAUUAAUCACGGAAUGUAAAAUAUAUUUCUGUUUGAUUUUGGUUUUAUUAUCUCAAGAUGAUCUAGGCUUCCCCCCCCCCCCCCCCCCUACAAUGCAGAAAUUAGAAUAUUGUUUAAACAUAGCUCUUGUCAGAAAACUACCAUUCACCAAUUGGCCUUUAGGAAGAUAUAUAAGCAUAUAUGUUCUUUUAGCAAUAUAAAUGAUAUUUUCUUUAAUAAUUGAGCUUUGUUAAUGGUCUUUUUGGCAUUUUAACUUUCAUUGCUUAUCUCCCUUUUUAUGAAAGGUAUAUUAAGUCCACGCAAUGUUGCUCUCUUUUGAAGCUUUUGUUAUUGGAUAGAUUAAUUGACUAAUUGUUUUGCUUAUUCAUUCAUAGAACAAGUACAGUACAGUUGAUCAAAAUAAACAAACAAAUGACAAAUUUAUGUUAUAACAUAUACAGUAAUUUUAUGUACAUGGUGUUUGGUCAAUUUUUUAAAGUAGACAUUUUUUUGUGAUCAUUGUUUUAAUUUUAUUACCUUAGUAAGUUCUCCUUCGUCAUCUUCAGUUCUAUUUAAUCAGCUUUUCUAUUACAGCUGUUAUCUGGUGCUCUCCUCCUUUUCUUGGACUUUGGUUCCUCAACAUCUUAAUGAACAAAUAAUGUAAAAAAAUUUAGUUAAUCCUUAUAUCUAUCUUUCUUAUGGAUUGUAAAAAAAAAUAAUUGUAAAUGUAUAAAAUCAAAACUCAAUGUUUCAAUAUUAAUUGUAAAAUGGUAAAUGGGUCAUAUUAUAUUUUAAAGUCAAUGGCGAUUGCCAUCUUAUUUAAAUAUCAAAAUUUUGUA